CAGUACAAGUCCCAAUGGAUUCCUGUAACUGCGGUAAAGAAAAAGGAGAAUGUAUCCAGGACACCUACUGGCUGGGACUCAGUUCAAGUAACAUGAGAAAUUACUGUGUGCCAGAUUAAUUUGGGGGGGAAAAUGAAUACGCUACACCGGAUGAUGAUUAUCGCUUCCAUACUCAGAAAUCAUUAUUUUCUCACCAGUGGCAAAAUCUCCAGCUAUAUUUAUGUAUAUCAAUAAAGAUUGGAAUAAUGCUGA